rnacentral:rRNA from 1 species
UACAGAGGGGGCAAGCGUUAUUCGGAAUUAUUGGGCGUAAAGGGCGCGUAGGCGGCUUUGCAAGUGACGGGUGAAAGCCCUCGGCUUAACCGAGGAACUGCCUGUCAGACUGUAAGGCUUGAGACCGGGAGAGGUGAGUGGAAUUCCCAGUGUAGCGGUGAAAUGCGUAGAUAUCUGGAGGAACACCGGUGGCGAAGGCGGCAUCCUGGACCGGUAUUGACGCUGAUGCGCGAAAGCCAGGGGAGCAAACGGG